ensembl:lncRNA novel transcript
AGUCUGCUCUUCACACGGAUACCACGAAUGCCACGGUGGCCUCCUGAAGACGGAGUCUGGUCUCACAUUCCUCCAGCUUCCUGUGAGGCUUCCCCAAAAAUGCAAAUUCAAUCACAAGGCGCCUGGGCUGACGUCUCCCCUCCUAUUUCCGGCUUUGCCCUUUGGAGCCUGAGGAGCAAGGGUAGAAUGAGGAUCGUGAGGUUCUUCAGAGGCAGUUACUCACGAGGUCACAGCGCAGAAACGGCAAGAAAUGUCAGGACAACUAUGGAUGUGAAGGAUGGGAGAGGGGCCUCCUUCCGCAUGAGGUCCCCAGAGGUAUUUGUCUCCAUCUAGAAACUGAGGGGCAUUUGUCUCCAUCCAGGACUUGGGGGGCCUCCUUCUCCAUCCAGGACUGGGGUGUGUCCUUCUGCAUCCAGGACAGGGGGACAUCCUUCUCCAUCCAUGAUUCAGAGUUCAUCCUUCUCUAUCCAGGAGAGGGGUUCAUCCUUCUCCAUCUAGGACUUGAGGGACAUCCUUCUCCAUCCAGGACUGAGAGGCAUCCUUCUCCUUGCAGUACCUGAGGGACAUCCUUCUCCAUUCAGGACCUGAGGAUGUCCUUCUCUGUACUCCCUUGGGACUGCACCCUUUCCUGUGCCAUCCUUCAGAAUGCUAGGCUGUCGCUGGUUGUGGAUUGAACUCUAGCAUCUUAUCUCUAUUCUAGGUGAAUCCCUUCACAUUUAUAGUGAUUUACCAUUUAAUCACUGUGCCAUUUUCCCCAAAAUAUGUGGGGUUUGGGGUUUGGUUUUUGUUCUUACUUCUAUUAAUUCUUCGGUUCCCACCUCCAGUUGUUUUGUAAUUUCUUUUACAACCUAAUAUGGUCCCAUUUGGUAAGUAUUACCAUGUACUAGAAAAUAAUGUAUAUUCAGUAUUUGUUGUGAUUUUUAAACCUUUAAUAAACUCAUAAGA